AACGUAGGGCGCGAGCGUUAUCCGGAUUCACUGGGCGUAAAACGCGUUGAGGCGGCUCCGCACGUUGGGCGUGAAAGCCCCGGGCUUAACCCGGGGAAGCCGUCCAAUACUGCGGGGCUUGAGGGCAGCAGAGGGAGGUGGAAUUCCCGGUGUAGUGGUGAAAUGCGUAGAUAUCGGGAGGGACACCCGUGGCGAAGGCGGCCUUCUGGGCUGCUCCUGACGCGGAAGGCGACAGCCAGGGGAGCGACCGGG
rnacentral:rRNA from 1 species